rnacentral:rRNA from 1 species
UUCCUACGGGAGCCAGCAGUGGGGAAUAUUGGGCAAUGGGGGCCAGCCUGAUCCAGUCAUGCCGCGUGUGUGAAGAAGGCCUUCGGGUUGUAAAGCAUUGUUGUUCGGGAAGAAAUCGUGCGGAUUAAUGCGCGUCCGGAUGACGGUACCGCAGA